UAAUUUGUCUGAGGCAGAUCCUCAUCUAGUUAUGGUAGACCAACACUCGACUGUUUAGAAUCACCCAUGAGAACUACUGUGUGAACAAUAACUUUUUAAAAC
rfam:Populus trichocarpa scaffold_17_contig_76, whole genome shotgun sequence.